rnacentral:pre_miRNA from 1 species
GGAAUUUAUCUGUAAAAAUAUGUGACACUUAUUCGGUAGCCAUGAAUAAACUCCAAGUUUCGGCUACCGAAUAAGUGUCACAUAUUUUUACAGAUAAAUUCC